AGGCCGCUGGACAGAUGGUCCCAGGGCAGGGGGCCUUCCGGGUCGCGCGGACCGGUGUAUUCGUUCCAGUCGAGUCCGGCCUC
rnacentral:tRNA from 1 species